CUUUCUGAUUUUUUUUUUAUUUACCCUGAGCUGGUGGAAGGGGAUGGGGAGCAGAACGUGGCCCUCAUAAUCCACAAGGAAUUGUUUGGCAACCUGCUACAGCACUUAGAUGUACACAAGUCGAUGGGGCCGGAUGGGAUCUGCCUGAGGGUGCUGAGAGAACUGGAGGAAGACCUGGCCAUGCUACUUUCCAUC